CAGACUUGCUUGCAAUAUUCAGCCUCCUGAAAAGGUGGUGCAUUUGUUGCCUGCAGGCCAGCAUCGGUUUCGACGGUUGGACAAAAGCUCAAGGAAAGUAGCUUUGGUCACAAAGUGUUAUAGCCUAAGCAUAAUGCAAUCAGUCGGGACCGAGGAACGCGCUUUUGCGAGGAUGUUGGCAUAAUGGUUGUUAGCGACCCGUCUUGAAACACGGACCAAGGAGUCGACCAAUUAAGCGAGCGUUAGGGUGUAAAACCCACAGCGCGUAAUGAAAGUAAACGUAGGUGGGAAGCUUUAUAGCAGCACCAUCGACCGAUCUAAGUUCGCAAGGAUUUGAGUAUGAGUUUCAUUGGUCGGACCCGAAAGAAGGUGAACUAUUCCCGAAUAGGUCGAAGUCAGGUGAAAACCUGAUGGAAGACCGCAGCGGUUCUGACGUGCAAAUCGAUCGUCAAAUUUAGGAAUAGGGGCGAAAGACUAAUCGAACCUUCUAGUAGCUGGUUCCUGUCGAAGUUUCCCUCAGGAUAGCAGCAACGAUAAACAGUCUCAUGAGGUAGAGCAACGAUUAGAGGCCUUGGGGUUGAAACAACCUUAACCUAUUCUCGAACUCCGAAUAUGUGAGAAGUCCUUGUUACUUAAUUGAACGUGGACAUUGGAUUACUGCACCCCUACCCCACAAAACA
rnacentral:rRNA from 1 species